AGGGGUAUAGCUCAGUUGGUAGAGCGGUGGUCUCCAAAACCACAGGUCGUGAGUUCGAGUCUCUCUGCCCCUGCCA
rnacentral:tRNA from 1 species